rnacentral:siRNA from 1 species
CGCCAAUAAUCCAUCAGCCAGC